GAUGAACGCUAGCGACAGGCUUAACACAUGCAAGUCGAGGGGCAGCACAGGUAGCAAUACCGGGUGGCGACCGGCGCACGGGUGAGUAACGCGUAUGCAACUUACCUAUCAGAGGGGGAUAACCCGGCGAAAGUCGGACUAAUACCGCAUGAAGCAGGGGUCCCGCAUGGGGAUAUUUGCUAAAGAUUCAUCGCUGAUAGAUAGGCAUGCGUUCCAUUAGGCAGUUGGCGGGGUAACGGCCCACCAAACCGACGAUGGAUAGGGGGUCUGAGAGGAAGGUCCCCCACAGUGGUACUGAGACACGGACCAAACUCCUACGGGAGGCAGCAGUGAGGAAUAUUGGUCAAUGGCCGAGAGGCUGAACCAGCCAAGUCGCGUGAGGGAUGAAGGUUCUAUGGAUCGUAAACCUCUUUUAUAAGGGAAUAAAGUGCGGGACGUGUCCCGUUUUGUAUGUACCUUAUGAAUAAGGAUCGGCUAACUCCGUG
rnacentral:rRNA from 1 species